AUUACCUGAAUUUUUGUUGUGGGGAUCUUUUGUUGGGCACAGUUUGAGAAGCUUAAUACGUAUGGAUUUUCCUCUUACUACCAGAAGAGAUGUGAGAGGUUUUGAGAUGUGGAGCUUCUCCAGCCACUGUGCACUAAUAAGAAGAGAGCCUGUUUGAGAAUGAAUCCAUUUGAAAUGACACCGAGAAGAAAUUUUACUCAACCAAGUUUACUGUUUUUCACUUUUCAUACAUUUUCGAGAACUUUCAGGAGGAGGAAUAUUUGUAGUUGACAAAAUAUAUUGCAUGAGAAAUUGUAACUCUCUUCAACCAUUCACUUUCUC
rnacentral:lncRNA from 1 species